UACAGAGGUCCCAAGCGUUGUUCGGAUUCACUGGGCGUAAAGGGUGCGUAGGUGGCGGGGUAAGUCUGAUGUGAAAUCUCCGAGCUUAACCCGGAAACUGCAUCGGAUACUGCCUUGCUCGAGGGUUGGAGGGGGGACUGGAAUACUUGGUGUAGCAGUGAAAUGCGUAGAUAUCAAGUGGAACACCAGUGGCGAAGGCGAGUCCCUGGACAACUCCUGACACUGAGGCACGAAAGCCAGGGGAGCAAACAGG
rnacentral:rRNA from 1 species